UGAGGAAUAUUGCACAAUGGGGGCAACCCUGACGCAGCAACGCCGCGUGAGUGAGGAAGGUUUUCGGAUUGUAAAGCUCUGUCGAGCGGAAAGAAAUGCUUGGUGGUUAAUACCCAUCAGGCUUGACGGUACCGCUAAAGGAAGCACCGGCUAACUCCGUGCCAGCAGCCGCGGUAAUACGGAGGGUGCAAGCGUUGUUCGGAAUCACUGGGCGUAAAGGGCGCGCAGGCGGUUUGAUAAGUCAGAUGUGAAAGCCCAUGGCUUAACUGUGGAAGUGCAUUUGAAACUGUCAGACUUGAGUAUCAGAGGGGAAAGUGGAAUUCCCGGUGUAGAGGUGAAAUUCGUAGAUAUCGGGAGGAAUACCGGUGGCGAAGGCGACUUUCUGGCCCUAUACUGACGCUGAGACGCGAGAGCGUGGGUAGCAAACA
rnacentral:rRNA from 1 species